AUAGCCCUAGCGUAGCUUUGCGCGAAAUUCUAAAAAAACAAACAAAGCAAAACAAACUCUUAAAUGUACAUUGUUAAUGCAGUGUAGCACUAAAACAUCUCCAGGGGAGUACAUGAUACUUAGGAUAGUUGGUAGAAUGACAGAAAGAUGUGGACACUUUUUACAACAUCUCCAGGGGAGUGCAUGAUACUUAGGAUAGUUGGUAGAAUGACAGAAAGUUUUGGACACUUCUCAUUUCAUGUGAACACUUACGUUAAAACUCAGAUGAAAUCAUCUUCAGCAUAAUUUUAAUAACUCGUGCAACAACUACAGGAUUUCUAAAACUUUUCCUGUACAGCAUUUUAGCUUUAGGCUGAAUAUCUGGGAGAGAAAAAAAAACUUAGUGUGGAUCGUAUACAUAAUAAGAAGGAUAACUGAUACAAUGACUAAACAUAGUUGUUUUAAUUUCACUUAUCAUAUGAUGUAACUCUACACGAAGUAUCGUGCAAGAGAAUGUAUAGAGUGUUACUUAUUUUAUACGUUGGGGAGAGUCGAUAUCAGGUUGAUUGUUAAUUGCAACAGCGAUAAACUGUACAUUCCUUUUCCAUUUAGGUCAACAUAUCAUAUAACACCGCUAUUAUACCCCAAUAACGCCUAAACACCCGUCACACCAAGGACAGAAGUAUAACAAAAUGUGAUGCUGUAAGUGGACCUACACUACUUAUGGAGUAGAUGCUACAAGACACGGUGUGUCUCACAAUAAGUUAAUAUAUGUUAAUUGUGUGCGUAUAACUACUUUUGUUUCGAGAACACGUUGCUUUUGUUGAAGCAUAAACUGCACUAUGGUCUAUCUGCGAUAGUCCACCCGCAGGUAUCGAGCCCCUAACUUUAGCAUGAUACGCCCUUAAGCGUACCGCUGAGUCACAGGGAACUCCAACAUCCUCCCACAUAACAUAGAAACUACAAGAAAACAGUAACGUGAGAUAUCUUCAUGGGCUUUCAUGAUACUUAGAAAUUAUAUAUAUAUAUAUAUAUGUGUGAUACAAUCACUAACAUUAAAAGCCCUAAAGCUUAUCGUUGAGCUACCAAGGGGCUCUAAGCACGCAUAAUUUAUCGUAUACAUGGCACAUUAACGAUAUGACGCACAUACAGUUUCAAUGUAUGAUAAGGUAUUGGAUUUAUAAAUCCGGUAUUAUAUUUAAUAAUUGGGAAUAGUAAUAUGCUGAAUGUUUUCUACAGUUGUAUGUAAUUUUUCAAACAUCCUUCUCUCUUGACUUGCAAUAGUUAUAGGUUUAACAGCUAAUUGGGUCAUUCAUAAUUAAUCGUGUUCAGUAAUUCAACAGUAAGUUUGCGAGCUUAUGAUACUAAACUUGGGGGUCAAUUUCUAUGUUGGGCACAGCACAAAUAGUCCAUUGUACAUCUUCGUGAUAAAACAAAUAAAAAACCGACAUACAUAUUUAUGUAUAACAGCGUUUACCUUUAUAUUCCGUCUUGGCUUGUUUUUUAGGUUUAAUUGUUUCUUUUUGUUUAUUCUAUCUGUAUUCACUUAUUAUUUUGAUUUUAUUCACUUCUAAUUUUCUAAACAAAUAUGAUACUUUGCGUGUAAUUUCCAAUUUUUUUUCUUUGUAUUUGGACGUACAUCAUCUGUUUACUUUACUACUUGUGUUUUGAAAUUUGAACGUCGUGAUUCAGAAUCCUAUACUGUUUUUUAUAGCUUUGUUAGGUCCAAACCAAAAUCGACUUUAUUUUAAAAAAACAUGAUUUUUAAUCGGCAUGCGGACAUAUUAUAACAUUAUGUUCACUUUAGAAAAUGAUAAAAAUUUUAGCAAAAGCCUAAACCAAAUUAAAUUGUAUAGAAUUUCUUGUUAAAAAAAAGCGCAAAAAAAAAGAAACAACUUAACGAUAACUAUAGCUUUGAUACUCAGCUAUUUGUCUUAAGGCAAUAUAGGUCAGAGAAUAAGGUAGUAUGUGAGUCACAUUAAGUCUGCUUCUUAUUCCUUGUAGGUAAUUUAUAAAUUGUUAGGUUAACACAAGCAGUGGAAGAAACUCAGUGGCAAACAGUCUUCGGUAAACAGAAUUAGUUUAGUUUGUACUAAACUGUCGUGCACUGUAAAGUUUGAUCAAAUUAGAAGAUGCGGCGUUUUCGGGUCAACAUCGGUACGAAGAGACGAGAUGGAUCAUGACGAUGUUGACGUAACGAACUUCGCUUAUUCACGGCUGUAGACUGGGAUUGAAACAUGUUCUUUAUACAAAGACAAACAUGCUUCUCAAACAAAGCCAAUCUCGGUCUGAUAUAGUUCACCAACAAAACUGAUAUAUUUGUUGUCAGUGUAAAUUUGGACCGGAUAUCAAACUUUCACUGUCUGAACAAAUAAGUAAAUAUUGUCGUAGUCAAACAAUGGCCGUAUAAAAGAGUUUGGAAGCGUAACACCGGUCCAGUGUCUUUAGGGGAGUGAAGUGGUUCAUGUGUGAAAGAAGUAAGAGCCGUGUUUUAACCGAAAUCUGAAAUAUGUAAUGCUAAUCAGUUUGGUUUCUACGAGUUUACAGUAACCCAAUGAUAUUCAAACUCGUUAUUAAUCUAAAUCUUUCAUAGAAAAUAACUAUUCAUCCUACUCCUUCAGAAAUCAGGCAACCAUCGAAGGAUCUAUUUCUUAGGGAAAAAGCCAUUCUUCUUCCACAAAGGAAAAGAUUUCCGAAAAUCUUAUUCAACUUAAAGUGUCAUGUUUAGGAAAACAACGGGUUUUUUUUUAAGGGUUUAAUCGUAACUAAAGAAAUGCAAUACCCCAAGCUUUGUUUCAACAGGGGACAGUCAGAUAUUCGUAUUCAAACCCCUCAUGCUGAUCAAGCACAUGUCGGGAAAUAGACAAACUUUCUACAUUCUAAAAAUUACAUUUGUUCUUACCUAUUUCUUUAAGAGAUAUCCUUUAGAAACUACCGGUAUUUGAAGAUGUUUAUUUCUUUAAGGGAUAUCCUACAGAACCUACCGGUAUUUAAAUAUGUUUAUUUCUUUAAGGGAUAUCCUUCAGAACCUACCGGUAUUUGAAGAUGUUUAUUUCUUUAAGGGAUAUCCUACAGAACCUACCGGUAUCUGGAGAUGUUUAUUUCUUUAAGGGAUAUCCUACAGAACCUACCGGUAUUUGGAGAUGUUUAUUUUUUUAAGGUAUAUCCUACAGAACCUACCGGUAUUUGAAGAUGUUUAUUUCUUUAAGGGAUAUCCUUCAGAACCUACAGGUAUUUGAAGAUGUUUAUUUCUUUAAGGGAUAUCCUUCAGAACCUACCGGUAUUUGAAGAUGAUUAUUUUAUAAGACUCCAUCCUAUCUUGAGUGCUGUCUACAAUACUUCAAGAAAUAGAACGUAUUAUCUUCUCAGGAUUUCGCUGCUUAUGUGACAGGUGGGUGCCGAUGCUGACACUUCUUGCCAAACUUCUUGAAAGCAUCAACUAAUAUUCGUUAUGUUUAAUUGUCGCAAGAGAAUACGAUCUCAACAUCUAUACAAGUUGUGGGUCAAAGGUUGUGGCAGCGACGACAAUUUAACCACGCGCAGAGAAACACUCCAUCACCUGAGGUUAUGUACUGAUGACAUCAUCAAGGUCUGUUACUUGGAUCACAAGUGAAGAAAUACUGGCUCCAUUAGAUAACACCGUGCACAUGUACGUUUGUUGACAUUUGCUGAGCUAAAUCCUGCGGCGAUCAAGACUAAUAAGUUUUCUGAAAUAUUUACACAGCGGUCUUCGUAUAAUGUCACAUGUCUCACGAAGGGGGCGUUACUGUAGAAAGAGAGAGAGAGAGACCAUGCGUCCCCUUAGGCAACACAGCAGGAAGAGUCCUUGAAAUUACUUGACAAAACCGGGCAUUUAAUCUGGUAUGUUUACUUUCAACAGUUUCGAUCAGCGAGAGGAGAAGAUACUGUCGUUAUUGAAAGUCCGUUUAAAAUAGUUUAAUAGUUUCAGAAAACAAAUAACGAUUUCACCUUCAUAUUAGUCACUAGGAUACAAUUCUAAUGGUUAUCUCUGAUAAUUUGUGAUGUUUAUGUGUG